GCGAAAGUAGCUCAGUUGGUAGAGCACAACCUUGCCAAGGUUGGGGUCGCGGGUUCGAAUCCCGUCUUUCGCU
rfam:Bacteroides coprosuis DSM 18011 chromosome, whole genome shotgun sequence.